rnacentral:misc_RNA from 1 species
GCAAACUUGGUCAUUUAGAGGAAGUAAAAGUCGUAACAAGGUUUCCGUAGGUGAACCUGCGGAAGGAUCAUUAAUGAAAUCCAAGCUGGGGUUGGGUUGUAGCUGGCUUCGGCAUGUGCACGCCUAACCCUAACCCUCACACCUGUGCACUAUGGGAUGGAGUCGGCUCAGCCGAUGAAGUCCAUUUUUACACACUCUUUGAACCUGUGAAUGUAACUGUCGUUUGUUAACGAAUGAAACAACUUUCAACAACGGAUCUCUUGGCUCUCGCAUCGAUGAAGAACGCAGC